UUAAGCAUCCUUGAUUGUAAGGUUGACGAAUUUGACUGUCUGUUAUAUAUUUUAUCAGGCACAUCAUGUAAGUCUUUCUCUGUAGGCUCUACGGCAUGAUGAUAUACUGCAGCCUUUGGCUUUAGUAAAGGAUCCAGCAACCUUCUAAGAGGGCUGGAACUAGCUCUGCUUGUAUUGAUGGGUUUAUCAUUUCUCAACUCACUCAAACAAGCUGAAGGCAUAGCAUUCUCGGAUCCAGAUUGGACAGAUAUGUGAGCUGAACCUUGAACACUAGCACAGGAAUUCCCCACGGAAUUGGAACUUUUACGUCUCCUACCCAUGCUGAUGCUUAAUCGACUAAAGGGUGAAGGGCUUCUUGCUUUUUCAACAGUAACUGUGCUUGCUUUCAGAUCCAAUCCAAUAGAUGCCUCCAUGACCACUGAACUUAAAGGUGUAACAUCUGAUGUUUCUGCUGCAGAUACUCUAGAUUUGCAUGGACUACAUCCUGCUUUAGCUGACCUGGAUACAGAGCGAGAAUUACUGGAUGCAUUUGUGGAACAAUUUUGCUUUAGUGGAAACUG
rnacentral:lncRNA from 1 species